UCCCUGGUGGUCAAAUGGUUAGGAUUCAGUGCUUCCAGUACUGUGGUCUGGGUUCAAUCCCUGGUCUAGGAA
rnacentral:tRNA from 1 species